UGCAUUGGGAGAAAAAAGGUAUUUGCUUGUCCUGGAUGAUUUGUGGCGUGUUGGAUCUACACAUUGGUAUGAGUUCAUGGACACCUUAAAAGGAAUCAAUACAUCCAGAGGAAACUGCAUUCUCGUGACUACUCGUAUGAAGCAGGUGGCAUCCAUAGUAGCUGCAGAUCUUCAUAUGUUGGGGAAAUUAGCAGAUGAUCAUUGUUUGUCCAUUUUCAAACAAAGAGCAUUUAUUGAUGGAGAAGUUCCACAAGAAUUAGUAAGCCUGGGAAAUAGAACUGUUGAAAUGUGUCA
rnacentral:misc_RNA from 1 species